rnacentral:rRNA from 1 species
GUCUAUGGCCAUGCUGCCCUGAACAAGCCUGAUCCCGUCUGAUCUUGGAAGCAAAGCAGGGUCGGGCCUGGUUAGUACUUGGAUGAGAGACCACCUAGGAAGACUAGGUACUGUAGGCA